UCCAACAUAUUACAUACAUUUUUUACUGAAAAAAACUACUCCAAUUCAUUGUCACUCUCUCUCUACAUAUAUUUUGAUACACUCUAGCAAAAACAAAAGAAAUUCCAGGAAAAAAAACCGAUUCACCCAAAUCGCUCUCUUCGCCCUCAAAUCCAAAACAAUGUCUCAUACUAACAAACAUAAAACCUUUCUCUCAACCUUUAUCAUCAACCUCUAUAAAGUGGAACCAAAGAGAUCAAGAGGCUAUGAACAUUUUACGGUGUGGUGCCAACCGAAAUCGUUCCUCGUUUCUCCAACGUGUUAACAACAAACCCAACCAAACUCGUUCUAAACUAAAAUUCUGAGUCAGAAUUCGUCGUAUGCAUAUCAGAGCAACAAAAAAAAACUAACCCCUAAGUAUCUAAUCUCAUCUCAAACAAUCAUUACACAUAUAUUCAACACAUAGAUUAUAAAGAGGAUAAAAAAUCAUCAACAUUAUCGUCAAAAUGAAGCAAAUAGACUGUAAGAGAAGCCUCGCCAAAUUUUACAAGUCUGAUGAGUACUCCGGCGGCGACUUACAUACCUCAGGUUUGAGGUAAGACAAAUUGGCUUGGAACUUGCUAAGAAAUUGUUGAAGAUUUCGAGUUCCUUAGGAUGUAAAUCAAAUGGGCACCUCCUCAAAAAUCAAGAAUGACUCUGGUGGUUGUAAUUUUGACUUUGGACUCUUUGUAAAUUUGUAGCAUGAAUCCCUUUGUAGAUUUAUGAACACAACUUGUAACAAUCUAUGAGUUUUAAUGUGAUUGAAUUUUGAUCUGUAUUGAUAAUCGUAAGGAAAUUUGAUAGUUACUAGGAAA